rnacentral:rRNA from 1 species
AUUGAACGCUGGCGGCAUGCCUAACACAUGCAAGUCGAACGGCAGCACGGCAGUAGCAAUACUGUGGGUGGCGAGUGGCGGACGGGUGAGGAAUACGUCGGAAUCUGCCCAGUCGUGGGGAUAACUAGCCGAAAGGUUAGCUAAUACCGCAUACGACCGAGAGGUGAAAGCGGGGGACCGCAAGGCCUCGCGCGAUUGGAUGAGCCGACGUCGGAUUAGCUAGUUGGAGGGGUAAAGGCCCACCAAGGCGACGAUCCGUAGCUGGUCUGAGAGGAUGAUCAGCCACACUGGAACUGAGACACGGUCCAGACUCCUACGGGAGGCAGCAGUGGGGAAUAUUGGACAAUGGGCGCAAGCCUGAUCCAGCAAUGCCGCGUGUGUGAAGAAGGCCUUCGGGUUGUAAAGCACUUUUAUCAGGAACGAAAAGCGUUGGAUUAAUACUCUGACGUGCUGACGGUACCUGAGGAAUAAGCACCGGCUAACUUCGUG